rnacentral:tRNA from 1 species
GCACCCAUAGCUCAACCGGAUAGAGCGUCAGCUUCCGGAGCUGAAGGUUAGAGGUUCGAAUCCUCCUGGGUGUACCA